rnacentral:rRNA from 1 species
AGUAACACGUGGGUGAUCUGCCUCGUACUUCGGGAUAAGCUUGGGAAACUGGGUCUAAUACCGGAUAGGACCAUCAUUUAGUGUUGGUGGUGGAAAGUUUUUUCGGUGCGAGAUGAGCCCGCGGCCUAUCAGCUUGUUGGUGGGGUAAUGGCCUACCAAGGCGUCGACGGGUAGCCGGCCUGAGAGGGUGGACGGCCACAUUGGGACUGAGAUACGGCCCAGACUCCUACGGGAGGCAGCAGUGGGGAAUAUUGCACAAUGGGCGCAAGCCUGAUGCAGCGACGCCGCGUGGGGGAUGACGGCCUUCGGGUUGUAAACCUCUUUCGGUAGGGACGAAGCCUUUUUUAAGGUGACGGUACCUGUAGAAGAAGCACCGGCUAACUACGUGCCAGCAGCCGCGGUAAUACGUAGGGUGCGAGCGUUGUCCGGAAUUACUGGGCGUAAAGAGCUCGUAGGUGGUUUGUUGCGUCGUCUGUGAAAUACCGGGGCUUAACUUCGGGGUUGCAGGCGAUACGGGCAUAACUGGAGUGCUGUAGGGGAGACUGGAAUUCCUGGUGUAGCGGUGGAAUG